GCAGGGCUUGCAUCACAGCCAGAUGUCUGGUUGCCGUGUUGUGUUUGGGAGAUAAACACCAGGGUUCCUUUGAAUCCUGAAUUUAAAUAAAAGAAGGGGGGUGCUGAGGAGAAGCCUCUGUUGGGCAGAGGUACCUUCCAGAUCUUGAUCUCCUUCCUUGAUACCCACCCCCCACAACCCCCACCCCAGAUCAGAAAACUGAGGCCCAGAGAAGGAAAGUAGCUGCUGGAGGUCACACAGCUAGGAUUGAGGGAUCAGAGAGUUCCUCCUCCCCCGCAAGCUGGCACAUGUGGAUAUUGGCUCUGUUUGCCUUUGACCCCUAGUGAAAGAAAAUACUGAGACGGAGUCUCGCUCUGUCGCCCAGGUUGGAGUGAAGUGGCUAGAUCUCAGCUCACUGCAACCUCUGCCUCCCAGGUUUAAGCAAUUCUCCUGUCUCAGCCUCCAGAGUAGCUGGGACUACAGGUGCAUGCCACCAUGCCCUACUAAUUUUUUGUAUUUUUAGGAGAGAUGGGCCUUCACCAUGUUGGUCAAGCUGGUCUCGAACUCCUGACCUCAGGUGAUCCACCAGCUUCAGCCUCCCAAAGUGCUGGGAUUACAGGCGUGAGCCACCGCGCCCAGCCUCAUAUCUAUCUUUAUCACUCCAUUUCAGAUCUUCUUCCAUAUAUGGCUCUGUGUGUCUCCUGUCCUUCCCUGUCUCCUCACUGCUUUUCAGCUGGUAGACCCCUGUGGGGACAACAGUUCAGAGCUUGGUCACCAAUAUGGACAUCUAGGUCUGAGCAGGGCCCACUCCCCGGGGGCGCAUCAGCUCCAUCCCAGCACCCUUUACACUGGCCUUCUCUUCACAAAGGACCACAGGUCAUCCUCAAGCCUUCCUCCCAGGCUGUCCUUGUCCCUGAAUACUAAUGUCUAAAGGUCAGCCCAGCUACCACCAGUGUGCAUGUGAUGUGUCCCAUCUCCCCUUCGGACUGGAGGAAGAAGCUGUGUCCCUCCCAUCAGACAGAGGGUCUCCUUAAAGAUUCUCCUGGUCUCCAGCUUGGGCUCUGCUGGAAAGAAGAGGAUGUAUUUAGCAAGGGUGAAGAUGGGUUCUUACUUCCCUGAGGCAACCAGAGAUAAGAAAAGACCGGAAUAUGAAUAUCCAGCAUUCCACAAAGAAUCCUACAGGCAGGGAUAUUGCCCAAUCACCAGUGCCUCACAUCCCAGUUCUAUCCAAGAUCCAAGCUUGAUAUCCUCCUGAAAGACUUCCUGAAUCAGGUCACCAACAUGGACAUCUGAACUUCCAGAAUCAGGUCACCGUCUUUCUUCUCAUCUCUGGAUGUAUUUGGAGCUCAUUUGUCUGACGGUUUUUGAAUGCUAUUUUUUAAAAAUAAACUUUUACAAUUUGGGUUUAAUAAUUCUAGAUUUAUAGAAAAGUUGAAAAGAAAGUACAGAAAGUUCCCAUAUAUCCCUUAUCCAGUUCCCUUAAUGUUAACCUCCUACAUCAUCAUGGAACAUUUGCCAAAAUGAAGAUGUCAACACUGGUGCUUUGCUGUGAACUAAACUCCAGACUUUAUUCGGAUUUCAUGAAUUUUUCUCCUAAGGUCCCUUUUCCGUUCCGGCAUUCCAUCCAGGAUAUCACAUUGCAUUUGGUGUUUGUGUCUCCUUGGUCUCCUCUGGUUCUUGAGAGUUUCUCAGUCUCUCCUUGUUUUUCAUGACUGAAGUUUCAAGGAGUACUGGUCAGGUAUUCCAUAGAAUGUCCUACUGUUAGCUUUCAGCAGUAAAAGCCUUUCCACAAACAAAA